rnacentral:lncRNA from 1 species
AACAAGAACAAAGCAAGUGAUGAAGGAAAAUGCAAAAACCCUAGCCACUUCUCAAAAUAAAGGAAAAUUCAAACUAGUUAAAAUCAAUAAACCCAAAAUGGCCUCAAGAAAAGUUCAAUCUUUCUGAUAAAUCAUGAAAGUAAAUGAGCAAUGAAGAAAACCAUUUUCUUGACACUUUAAGCAUUUUAAAUAAAUGCAAAAAGC